CAUUUCCAGAAGAACAAUGGCAAGGUUCCAGCCGCCGUGAUCGCUGCCUUCAACAGCCAGCUUCCGGGCACUCAAUCCAUCGCCGCCACAUUGUUUGCCGCCACACCUCCGGUUCCUGACCACGUGUUGACCAAGGCUUUCCAGGUGGGGACCAAGGAGGUUGAGAAAAUCAAGUCUAGGUUGGCACCCAAGAAGUAAUUGAAAGAGGGUGGGUGUUGGGCCUUGUCUGUUGCUAGUGUUACCACUGGAUUUAUGGGAUUUGUUCUUCAUAAUAUUUAGAACUUAUUUCUUUAGUCUUUCAAAAAUGAGAAUCCUUAAUUAUUUUUCUUAUUUAGCAAAGAAAUAAAAAUCUCUGUUGAUCUUUUU
rnacentral:misc_RNA from 1 species